GCAGGUGGCAGAACCACUGAGUUAAAUCCCCAGCCCAAACUAGAAUCUUGCGUCACUUGUCCCUUGGCAUCCAGGAAGAAUGGAUUUCAGGAGCCCUCAAGACAUGGAAUUGCAAGUUUCCUGGUCACAGGCUCAGUUUAAGAGGCACUGGAGGUAACCAUUCUUUUCAAGUGACCUGUGACCACCUGAAAAGGCUCCUGCUGUCAGUUGGGUGGAUGCUCCCUUCACGCCUCCUCAGCUAUUGGGCACCUCUCCUGUGCUCAGAAUACUCCAAGCUGUGCCCUGAAGAAGGCUGCAGCCUCACGAUCAAAUGCACCACCCACGGGCCUGAGUUGAAUUUGCAUCUUCCAAACUCAGGCAACGACAAUCACAUACAGUCAUCGCAGUGGGCUGGAGUUGUUGAGAUGGUCAAGAAGACUGAAUGGCACUGCUGCUUCCCUGGGGGAUGUGACAGUUGUGCUGACUUCUUCAAAGUCGAUGCCACGCCUAGAUUGGGAUCCAGCCCACGGAUUUUCCAUUGACUCAUUUUGAGGACCACGAGCUCAUUUUCUGGCACACACUGUGCCUUCACAUUCAGAGAUACAUACACAUGAACCAAUAGCAUCUUCAAUUUUUAGUUAUCAAAAGCCCUUUACUUCCAAAAUAGCACUAAAUG